GCAUGCUAGUCGCACGAGUUCAGGCUCGUGGCGAAUAGCUCAGUAACACGUGGCCAAACUACCCUUCGGAGCUCCAUACCCUCGGGAAACUGAGGCUAAUAGAGCAUACCACAAUCCAGCUGGAAUGAGGAUUGUGCCAAACGCUCCGGCGCCGAAGGAUGUGGCUGCGGCCGAUUAGGUAGACGGUGGGGUAACGGCCCACCGUGCCAAUAAUCGGUACGGGUCAUGAGAGUGAGAACCCGGAGACGGAAUCUGAGACAAGAUUCCGGGCCCUACGGGGCGCAGCAGGCGCGAAACCUUUACACUGCACGCCAGUGCGAUAAGGGGAUCCCAAGUGCGCAGGCAUAGAGCCUGCGCUUUUGUACACCGUAGGGAGGUGUACGAAUAAGGGCUGGGCAAGACCGGUGCCAGCCGCCGCGGUAAUACCGGCAGCCCGAGUGAUGGCCGAUCUUAUUGGGCCUAAAGCGUCCGUAGCUGGCCGCACAAGUCCAUCGGAAAAUCCACCCGCCCAACGGGUGGGCGUCCGGUGGAAACUGUGUGGCUUGGGACCGGAAGGCGCGACGGGUACGUCCGGGGUAGGAGUGAAAUCCCGUAAUCCUGGACGGACCGCCGAUGGCGAAAGCACGUCGCGAGGACGGAUCCGACAGUGAGGGACGAAAGCCAGGGUCUCGAACCGGAUUAGAUACCCGGGUAGUCCUGGCCGUAAACAAUGUCUGUUAGGUGUGGCUCCCACUACGAGUGGGUGCUGUGCCGUAGGGAAGCCGCUAAACAGACCGCCUGGGAAGUACGUCCGCAAGGAUGAAACUUAAAGGAAUUGGCGGGGGAGCACUACAACCGGAGGAGCCUGCGGUUUAAUUGGACUCAACGCCGGACAUCUCACCAGCAUCGACUGUAGUAAUGACGAUCAGGUUGAUGACC
rnacentral:rRNA from 1 species